rnacentral:rRNA from 1 species
AUGCAGGUCCUACAUUUUGGUGGUAAUUUGCUGUUAACCUCUUCUGAAGAUUGGUGUGACCUCAUCAACUUGCGGCAUGUAAUCUAUUCUAAAGAUCUGAAAAUUGGAAGCAUUGACAGGCUGACAUCACUGCAAACGUUGGGAAGGUUCAUGGUAAGGAAGGAACAAGGGUACCAGUUAAAGCAACUGGGGAACCUAAACAAGCUUGGUGGCGAACUGUGCAUUUGUGGCAUCGAAAACAUUGAAAGCAAGGCGGAAGCUCUUGAAGCCAAUCUGGCUGAUAAGGGCGGGCUCAGAAAACUGGUACUGCAGUGGGAUGGUGUAGCGAGUGCAGAAGUUGAGACAGAGGUACUAGAGGGUCUUUGCCCACCCAAGUAUCUCGAUGAAUUGACAAUCGAAGGUUACAUAGGUCUGAGGUAUCCAAGCUGGAUGGAUGGUGAGGACAACGGUGGCCCAAAGUACUUGAAAAAUCUCAAGUUCAGUGGAUGCAGCCAAGAACUGGGUCCAGAACUUCGUGGGUUCGUCAGUCACCUCCGUGUGCUCAGUAUCCAGUUCUGCAGCUGGGUCUCCUUGCCAGAUUGUAUGGAGCACCUUCGGUCACUGCAUGAGCUGAGUAUCCGCUGCUGUAGUAAUAUUCGGUCGCUUCCAACACUGCCGCAGUCACUUCAGGACUUUCGAGUCCAUGCAUGCAAUGAUGUGUUGAUGGGUUCGUGCAAAAUAAUUGGAGAUCCAAAUUGGGACAAGGUUCAGCACACUCCGCGCGCACGUAUUGGAGGCUACGUGCUAACAAUGGGAGUUGUUAGAGAACCCGAAGAAGCACAAGCUGAAGUGGUUAGCGACUGA